rnacentral:rRNA from 1 species
UACGUAGGGGGCAAGCGUUGUCCGGAAUUAUUGGGCGUAAAGAGCGCGUAGGCGGUCCGAUAAGUCGGCUGUGAAAGUCAGGGGCUCAACCCUUGGAAGCCGGCCGAUACUGUCGGACUAGAGUCCGGAAGAGGCGAGUGGAAUUCCCGGUGUAGCGGUGAAAUGCGCAGAUAUCGGGAGGAACACCAGUGGCGAAGGCGGCUACCUGGACCAGCACUGACACUGAGGCACGAAAGCGUGGGGAGCAAACAGG